UGAUAGAGCAGGUGAAGCGCGAGAUCUCGGUCAUGAAGAUGGUCCGCCACCCCAACGUCGUGGAGCUCCACGAGGUGAUGGCCACCCGGUCCAAGAUCUACUUCGCCAUGGAGCUCGUACGCGGGGGCGAGCUUUUCGCCAAGGUCGCCUGCUCCGGGAGGCUCCGGGAGGGCGCUGCCCGCCACUACUUCCGCCAGCUCGUCUCCGCCGUCGAUUUCUGCCACGGGCGCAGCGUCUACCACCGCGACCUCAAGCUGGAGAACCUCCUCCUGGACGAGCAGGGGAACCUCAAGAUCGCCGACUUCGGGCUCAGCGCCUUCGCCGACCACGUUCGGCAGGACGGGCUCCUUCACACCGCC
rnacentral:lncRNA from 1 species